UAGCGCAGCCUGGUAGCGCGCCUGCUUUGGGAGCAGGAUGUCGGGAGUUCGAAUCUCUC
rnacentral:tRNA from 1 species